AACGAACGCUGGCGGCAUGCCUAACACAUGCAAGUCGAACGAGACCUUCGGGUCUAGUGGCGCACGGGUGCGUAACGCGUGGGAACCUGCCUUUAGGUUCGGAAUAACUCAGAGAAAUUUGAGCUAAUACCGGAUAAUGUCUUCGGACCAAAGAUUUAUCGCCUUUAGAUGGGCCCGCGUUGGAUUAGGUAGUUGGUGGGGUAAAGGCCUACCAAGCCGACGAUCCAUAGCUGGUUUGAGAGGAUGAUCAGCCACACUGGGACUGAGACACGGCCCAGACUCCUACCGGGAGGCAGCAGUGGGGAAUCUUGCGCAAUGGGCGAAAGCCUGACGCAGCAACGCCGCGUGCGGGAAGAAAGGCUUUCGGGCUGUAAACCGCUUUCAGCAGGACG
rnacentral:rRNA from 1 species